rnacentral:rRNA from 1 species
GCGGCAACAGCUCAAAUUUGAAAUCUGGCUCCGUCGGGGUCCGAGUUGUAAUUUGUAGAGAGUGUUUCGGGUGAGACUACGGUCUAAGUCUAUUGGAACAUGGCGUCAUAGAGGGUGAGAAUCCCGUACGUGACCGUGGCUCGAGCCCAUGUGAAGCCUCUUCGACGAGUCGAGUUGUUUGGGAAUGCAGCUCAAAAUGGGUGGUAAAUUUCAUCUAAAGCUAAAUACUGGCUGGAGACCGAUAGCGCACAAGUAGAGUGAUCGAAAGAUGAAAAGCACUUUGGAAAGAGAGUCAAAAAGUACGUGAAAUUGUUGAAAGGGAAGCGCUUGCAACCAGACCUGUCCGUAGGUGAUCAGCCGCUGUUCUCAGCGGUGCACUCGCUCUGCGAUCAGGCCAGCAUCGGUUUCGGCGGUCGGAUAAAGGCCUUGGGAAUGUAGCUUCCUCCGGGGAGUCUUAUAGCCCUCGGUGCAAUGCGGCCAGCCGGGACCGAGGACCGCGCUUCGGCUAGGAUGCUGGCGUAAUGGUUGUCAGCGACCCGUCUUGAAACACGGACCAAGGAGUCUAACAUCAAUGCGAGUGUUUGGGUGUCAAACCCAUACGCGGAAUGAAAGUGAACGGAGGUGAGAACCCGUUAGGGCGCAUCAUCGACCGAUCCAGAUGUCUUCGGAUGGAUUUGAGUAUGAGCAUUAAUGUUGGGACCCGAAAGAUGGUGAACUAUGCCUGAAUAGGGUGAAGCCAGAGGAAA